GCUCUCCCAUAUGGUCGACCUGCAGGCGGCCGCGAAUUCACUAGUGAUUAGAGUUUGAUCAUGGCUCAGAAUCAACGCUGGCGGCGUGCCUAACACAUGCAAGUCGAACGCGAAAGGGACUUCGGUCCUGAGUAGAGUGGCGAACGGGUGAGUAACACGUGGGUGACCUACCUUCGAAUGGGGGAUAACGUCCCGAAAGGGGCGCUAAUACCGCAUAACAUCCUGUCCUUGAACGGAUGGUGAUCAAAGCCGGGGAUCGCAAGACCUGGCGUUUGAAGAGGGGCCCACGUCCGAUUAGCUAGUUGGUGAGGUAACGGCUCACCAAGGCGACGAUCGGUAACCGGCCUGAGAGGGCGGACGGUCACACUGGGACUGAGACACGGCCCAGACUCCUACGGGAGGCAGCAGUGGGGAAUUUUGGACAAUGGGCGCAAGCCUGAUCCAGCAAUGCCGCGUGAGUGAAGAAGGCCUUCGGGUUGUAAAGCUCUUUUGUCAGGGAAGAAACGGUUCCGGCUAAUAUCCGGAAUCAAUGACGGUACCUGAAGAAUAAGCCCCGGCUAACUACGUGCCAGCAGCCGCGGUAAUACGAAUCGAAUUCCCGCGGCCGCCAUGGCGCCCGGGAGCAUGCGAC
rnacentral:rRNA from 1 species